rnacentral:rRNA from 1 species
GACGAACGCUGGCGGCGUGCCUAAUACAUGCAAGUAGAACGCUGAAGGAGGAGCUUGCUUCUCUGGAUGAGUUGCGAACGGGUGAGUAACGCGUAGGUAACCUGCCUGGUAGCGGGGGAUAACUAUUGGAAACGAUAGCUAAUACCGCAUAAUAGUAGAUGUUGCAUGACAUUUACUUAAAAGGUGCAAUUGCAUCACUGCCAGAUGGACCUGCGUUGUAUUAGCUAGUUGGUGGGGCAACGGCUCACCAAGGCGACGAUACAUAGCCGACCUGAGAGGGUGAUCGGCCACACUGGGACUGAGACACGGCCCAGACUCCUACGGGAGGCAGCAGUAGGGAAUCUUCGGCAAUGGACGAAAGUCUGACCGAGCAACGCCGCGUGAGUGAAGAAGGUUUUCGGAUCGUAAAGCUCUGUUGUAAGAGAAGAACGAGUGUGAGAGUGGAAAGUUCACACUGUGACGGUAUCUUACCAGAAAGGGACGGCUAACUACGUG